UUACGGCCACAUCACGUUGAAACACGGGUUCCUGUACAAUCACCAAAGUUAAGCAACGUCGACCCUGAUAAGUACUUAGAUGGGUGACCGCUUGAGAAUACCAGUUGUU